rnacentral:rRNA from 1 species
CUACCAAGACUGUGAUCAAUAGCUGAUUUGAGAGGAUGAUCAGCCACAUUGGGACUGAGACACGGCCCAAACUCCUACGGGAGGCAGCAGUGGGGAAUCUUGCACAAUGGAGGAAACUCUGAUGCAGCGAUGCCGCGUGAGUGAAGAAGGCCCUUGGGUUGUAAAGCUCUUUCGUCGGGGAAGAAAAUGACUGUACCCGAAUAAGAAGGUCCGGCUAACUUCGUGCCAGCAGCCGCGGUAAUACGAAGGGACCUAGCGUAGUUCGGAAUUACUGGGCUUAAAGAGUUCGUAGGUGGUUGAAAAAGUUGGUGGUGAAAUCCCAGAGCUUAACUCUGGAACUGCCAUCAAAACUUUUCAGCUAGAGUAUGAUAGAGGAAAGCAGAAUUUCUAGUGUAGAGGUGAAAUUCGUAGAUAUUAGAAAGAAUACCAAUUGCGAAGGCAGCUUUCUGGAUCAUUACUGACACUGAGGAACGAAAGCAUGGGUAGCGAAGAGGAUUAGAUACCCUCGUAGUCCAUGCCGUAAACGAUGUGUGUUAGACGUUGGAAAUUUAUUUUCAGUGUCGCAGUGAAAGCGAUAAACACACCGCCUGGGGAGUACGACCGCAAGGUUAAAACUCAAAUGAAUUGACGGGGACCCGCACAAGUAGUGGAGCAUGUGGUUUAAUUCGAAGAUACGCGCAGAACCUUACCAACACUUGACAUGUUCGUCGCGACUUUAAGAGAUUAAAGUUUUCGGUUCGGCCGGACGAAACACAGGUGCUGCAUGGCUGUCGUCAGCUCGUGUCGUGAGAUGUUGGGUUAAGUCCCGCAACGAGCGCAACCCUCACUUUUAGUUGCCAUCAUUUAGUUGGGCACUCUGAAAGAACUGCCAGUGAUAAGCUGGAGGAAGGUGGGGAUGACGUCAAGUCCUCAUGGCCCUUACGUGUUGGGCUACACACGUGCUACAAUGGUAUAUACACAGAAG